rnacentral:rRNA from 1 species
GUACCAGACUCCUACGGGAGGCAGCAGUGGGGGAUAUUGCACAAUGGGGGAAACCCUGAUGCAGCGACGCCGCGUGAGUGAAGAAGUAUUUCGGUAUGUAAAGCUCUAUCAGCAGGGAAGAAAAUGACAGUACCUGACCAAGAAGCCCCGGCUAACUACGUGCCAGCAGCCGCGGUAAUACGUAGGGGGCAAGCGUUAUCCGGAUUUACUGGGUGUAAAGGGAGCGUAGACGGUUAUGUAAGUCUGGAGUGAAAGCCCGGGGCCCAACCCCGGGACUGCUCUGGAAACUGCGUCGCUGGAGUACGGGAGGGGCAGGCGGAAUUCCUGGUGUAGCGGCGAAAUGCGUAGAUAUCAGGAGGAACACCGGCGGCGAAGGCGGCCUGCUGGACCGUGACUGACGUUGAGGCUCGAGAGCGUGGGGAGCAAACAGGAUUAGAUACCCCUGUAC